ensembl:lncRNA
GCCCAAAUGGCAAUAGUAUUAAGGCUGAGAAACCUUGGAUUAGAAACCUAGAAGGAUAACCAGGGGAAGAGGAGGCAACCCUGAGAUUGCAAGAAUUGCAAGAAGCCACUAUUACCUCCAGGGCCAGCAGACCAGCAUGAAAAAAGAUCUGGGACCGGUCACUAAUUCAGAAGAGGGUAGACACAGGGCUUCCGAGCUUGGCGAGUAAGAGCCUACCUGGACAGCUCUCCUUGCUGCAGCGGGGAGGUAUGAGUUUGCAAAGCAUCUCUCAAAUGGAGUGAUUCAACUGCGUGAAGACAGCUGUACUUCCAAAUAAAAAUAUCUUCUGGAGGAAAAGAGUCUUUCUUAUAAGUAGAAUUGUCCCCCAAAAUUGUUCAGUUUUCAGAUUAUAGGGAAGGAAAUGAGCUCAACGGAAAAACCGAAAUAGACACACAUGAUUCCAGAGGAAUCUAAAGACAACGCUCAGAUCUGAGUUACCAGGCAACUCUCUCUCCAAGGAUGCCAUCAUUCUGAUUUUAUAGAAUAAUCAGGUGCCGGAAUUUCUGACUCAAGAGAUCUUGGGAUAAUAAUGAAUUCAUCUUUUAUGAUUUUAAAAAACUAUAAGAAGAAACUUCUCUCUUGCCUGGCACACACUUCACUACUUUUUCUUUCACAGUUUCUUUGUUGUGCGUCUUUAAAGCAAACAGAUCUUCACUUGUUUGGGAUGUUUUUGUUGGAUCCUGCUGAGAGUGGGGAUAGAUGGAAGACCACUCAAGACACUGCUUUUUAGCUGCUUCGGAAUCUGAUCUGAUGGUUAUUAAGAAGUUUUAUCUACAAGGAACAAAGGGAAAAUUGCACAUAAACAUCAUCUAAAACAACAGUCAUGGGACAUUCAGCCUCAUGCCUGAAAACAGGGUAAACAAAUUGGAUACAGAGCUGGACAAAGACAAAGGCACAUAAAAGAGUGUUUUCAUCAAUAUCUGAAAAAAAAACAUCCUUGCAGUAACAGUCGUCUGUUCAGGCACUUGUGUACAAAAUCUCAGAAUAGAGUUUUAGUAAAAAUUGUGUGCUAAUUUUCCAUUUUCUUUUUGUCUGUACCAUGAUAUGUUACCUUUUAUUCAUUUGCUCAUUAGUGAAAGCCUAAUUUGUGCGAGAGUCUCUGCUAGACAUGAGUCCACGCCAGUGCAAGAGUCUGCAGUCCCAGCCUCCAAGAUGCUUACCCUCCAGAGAUGGAAAGAGACAUGUCGACAGCUCUUGACCAAUGAUAUAGGACUGAAAAUAGUAGGAUCUACUGUUUGUGCCAUUACAGGGGGGCCCACUACCUAAGGC